UAAGGAAUUUUCCGCAAUGGGCGAAAGCCUGACGGAGCAAUACCGCGUGAGGGAUGACGGCCUAUGGGUUGUAAACCUCUUUUUUCAGGGAGGAAUAAAUGACGUGUACCUGAAGAAUAAGCAUCGGCUAACUCCGUGCCAGCAGCCGCGGUAAGACGGAGGAUGCAAGUGUUAUCCGGAAUCACUGGGCGUAAAGCGUCUGUAGGUGGUUUAAUAAGUCAACUGUUAAAUCUUGAGGCUCAACCUCGAAACCGCAGUCGAAACUAUUAGACUAGAGUAUAGUAGGGGUAAAGGGAAUUUCCAGUGGAGCGGUGAAAUGCGUAGAGAUUGGAAAGAACACCGAUGGCGAAGGCACUUUACUGGGCUAUUACUAACACUGAGAGACGAAAGCUAGGGUAGCAAAUGGGAUUAGAUACCCCAGUAGUCCUAGCUGUAAACUAUGGAUACUAGAUGUUGAACAGAUCGACCUGUGCAGUAUCAAAGCUAACGCGUUAAGUAUCCCGCCUGGGAAGUAUGCUCGCAAGAGUG
rnacentral:rRNA from 1 species